rnacentral:rRNA from 1 species
GAGGGCCCUCUGGGUCCAACCUCCCACCCGUGUUUUCCGAACCCUGUUGCUUCGGCGGGCCCGCCUCACGGCCGCCGGGGGGCUUCCGCCCCCGGGCCCGCGCCCGCCGAAGACACCUGUGAACGCUGUCUGAAGUUGCAGUCUGAGAAACUAGCUAAAUUAGUUAAAACUUUCAACAACGGAUCUCUUGGUUCCGGCAUCGAUGAAGAACGCAGCGAAAUGCGAUAACUAAUGUGAAUUGCAGAAUUCAGUGAAUCAUCGAGUCUUUGAACGCACAUUGCGCCCUCUGGUAUUCCGGAGGGCAUGCCUGUCCGAGCGUCAUUGCUGCCCUCAAGCACGGGUUGUGUGUUGGGCCCCCGCCCCCCCGCGCUGGGGGGGCGGGCCCGAAAGGCAGCGGCGGCACCGCGUCCGGUCCUCGAGCGUAUGGGGCUUCGUCACCCGCUCUUGUAGGCCCGGCCGGCGCCAGCCGACCCCCCUCAAUCUAUUUUUUCAGGUUGACCUCGGAUCAGGUAGGGAUACCCGCUGAACUUAAGCAUAUCAAUAAGCGGAGGAAAAGAAACCAACCGGGAUUGCCCUAGUAACGGCGAGUGAAGCGGCAAGAGCUCAAAUUUGAAAGCUGGCCCCCGCGGGGUCCGCAUUGUAAUUUGCAGAGGAUGCUUCGGGAGCGGUCCCCAUCUAAGUGCCCUGGAACGGGCCGUCAUAGAGGGUGAGAAUCCCGUAUGGGAUGGGGUGCCCGCGCCCGUGUGAAGCUCCUUCGACGAGUCGAGUUGUUUGGGAAUGCAGCUCUAAUUGGGUGGUAAAUUUCAUCUAAAGCUAAAUAUUG